rnacentral:rRNA from 1 species
GACGAACGCUGGCGGCGUGCUUAACACAUGCAAGUCGAACGGAAAGGUCCUGCUCUUGUGGGGUGCUCGAGUGGCGAACGGGUGAGUAACACGUGAGUAACCUGUCCCUGACUUUGGGAUAUCUCUAGGAAACUGCGGCUCUUACCGCAUAGGAGCUCCUGCUGCAUGGUGGGGGUUGGAAAGAUUCGGCGGUUGGGGAUCGACUCGCGGCUUAUCCGCUUUUUGGUGUGGUAGUGGCUUACGAAGCCUUUGACGGGUAGCCGGCCUUAGAGGGGGACCGGCCACAUGGGGACUGAGGUAGGGCCCAGACUCCUACGGGAGGCAGCGGUGGGGAAUAUGACACAAUAGGCGGAAGCCAGAUGCAGCGACGCCGCGUGCGGGAUGACGGCCUUCGGGGGAUAAACCACUUUCGCCGGAAACGAGGCGUGAGUGACGGUAAUGGGUAAAAAAGCACCGGCUAACUACGUG